rnacentral:rRNA from 1 species
CAGGUAGGACUACCGCUGAACUUAAGCAUAUCAUAACCGGGAGGAA